rnacentral:lncRNA from 1 species
ACUGAGUCCUCAAAUUGAUUUUGCUGCUUUUGUUUUUGCUCAUUUCCAUUUAAUAACAUUCUUGGCGCUGUGUUUUGCCUUCUCAGAUCAGUUCACAGCCAGCGAGAGGUCCUGGAUGGAGGACAGAGCCUGACAGUGCUGCUCUGCAGGAUAGGGACCACCUGGACCGUGGACAGGAUAUGGACUUGUGCUGACUUCAACUGUACCUACAUGGGUGAGGCACUGCAAAGGGUGAUCCUGGGAGAUUCCCACAGCUCUUCCCAAGAAACUACGUGAAAUUACGGACCCAAGUAAAGCGUGGAAAGAACCUGUGAUCUUAUCUACUCAGUAUUCUGAUGCCACUGGGAGAGAUUUCCAUGGCUGGUUUGGAAACAUCUGUGCACGUACUUGGCUUUAGGGGAGCUGGGUUCUGCUCCACUCCCAGCCCCAGGAGCUGCAGUACUUCUCUCUGCCCUCAUGUUGCCCUUCAGCAGGGCUGUGUUCAGGCAAACCAAGCUCCACCUCAAGUUUCUGUAGUGGUGUUCCUCUUGGCUGAAUCCAGGCAUGCAGUGUGCCCAGCCACUGAAUAGAGCACCUGUUUUCCAGUGUUUUAGUCUUGUUGUAAUUGUGUUCAAUACAAAUCUCAUCCCAUAGCCCAGGAAGUGGCAGUUCUUCGAAGGGAAUC